CAUAGUCUACAUCAGUAACUAACCCAACGAAGGUACCAGACAUAGUCUACUACAGUAACUAACCCAACGAAGGUACCAGACAUAGUCUACUACAGUAACUAACCCAACGAAGGUACCAGACAUAGUCUACUACAGUAACUAACCCAACGAAGGUACCAGACAUAGUCUACAACAGUAACUAACCCAACGAAGGUACCAGACAUCGUCUUCAACAGUAACUAACCCAACGAAGGUACCAGACAUAGUCUACUACAGUUACUAACCCAACGAAGGUACCAGACAGUCUACUACAUUAACUAACCCAACGAAGGUACCAGACAGUCUACUACAGUAACUAACCCAACGAAGGUACCAGACAGUCUACUACAGUAACUAACCCAACGAAGGUACUAGACAUAGUCUACUACAGUAACUAACCCAACGAAGGUACUAGACAUAGUCUACUACAGUAACUAACCCAAUGAAGGUACCAGACAUAGUCUACUACAGUAACUAACCCAACGAAGGUACCAGACAUAGUCUACUACAGUAACUAACCCAACGAAGGUACCAGACAUAGUCUACUACAGUAACUAACCCAACGAAGGUACUAGACAUAGUCUACUACAGUAACUAACCCAACGAAGGUACCAGACAUAGUCUACUACAGUAACUAACCCAACGAAGGUACCAGACAUAGUCUACUACAGUAACUAACCCAACGAAG